rnacentral:rRNA from 1 species
UUAGGAAUAUUGGACAAUGGGGGAAACCCUGAUCCAGCCAUGCCGCGUGUGUGAUGAAGGCCCUAGGGUUGUAAAGCACUUUCAUCGGGGAUGAUAAUGACAGUACCCGAAGAAGAAGCCACGGCUAAAUUCGUGCCAGCAGCCGCGGUAAUACGAAUGUGGCAAGCGUUGUUCGGAAUCACUGGGCGUAAAGAAUGCGUAGGCGGCUUAACAAGUCAGGAGUGAAAUCCCCGGGCUCAACCCGGGAACUGCUUCUGAAACUGUUUUGCUAGAGUCCCGGAGGGGUUGGCGGAAUUCCGAGUGUAGAGGUGAAAUUCGCAGAUAUUCGGAGGAACACCAGUGGCGUAGGCGGCCAACUGGACGGGAACUGACGCUGAGGCAUGAAAGUGUGGGGAGCAAA